ensembl:lncRNA
UGGUCAAUGAGAUCAUGAGCAAAGGGCUUCCUCUAUUCUUUCUCCCCUCCUUGUGACUAGAGGCAAAGAACUCCAAGAUGGUAGAGUUGGAAGAUGGAAGCUCCAGAGAUGCUCAGAGUAAAUCAUCAGGGGACUAUUGCCUGACCUGCCUCCAACAGUGAAAUGAACAAGAGACAGAUCUGAGGAUUGUACUGCAAAUUCGAGCCUUUUAUCUUACAACUGCUGGAGUCAUAUAUAGUUUUUGGUUUGAAGUAGAACAGAAGUAUUAUUCAUGGUUCAAUUAAGAUUCCCUUGGCUGCCUCCUUUCAGAAGAACCGAGUCCAUUGAAAUGAACUUUCUCAACUUUCUGCUUCUAUUCUGUGAGUGUCUUCUCUCUGCCCUCUCCCUCCUCAACCUUAUCACUGAUCUUGGGGGGCAUCUCUUCCCUAUCCAGACUGAUUUAUCCACUCAUGCUCUUGAUCAGUCUCUCCUGGACCUCUUUCAGGAGCCAAAGCCAUCCUUAUUAACCCUCUUUUUUGUUUAUGUCCUUGGAGGAGUUUGACCCUAUUGACUGGCUCUUUGUUCUUGAAGUGCUCUCCAGCCUCAGAGACUCUUGACCUGUUAACAUGGCC